GUCCUGUGGUACAUCGAAGUCUCGUAGCCUAUGGAGUGGAAAAAACUAUCGCCUAAUUAGGAAGAUUCUUAUCAGGUGGAUGAGAUGGUAUGCCCCAAAACUUAUAAACUGAAACAGCUUGAUGGAACUCCACUCUAAAGACUGUGAAACUCUGCUAACUUUCGCAUGUAUUAUCAGUGUUAUUAUAAUUUUACUGAAGUG
rnacentral:lncRNA from 1 species